rnacentral:rRNA from 1 species
UACGUAGGUGGCGAGCGUUGUUCGGAUUUAUUGGGCGUAAAGGGUUCGUAGGAGGUUGGAUAAGUUUGACGUGAAAUCCCGGAGCUCAACUCUGGAACUGCGUUGGAGACUGUCUGACUAGAGUAUUGGAGAGGUAAGCGGAAUACCAGGUGUAGCGGUGGAAUGCGUAGAUAUCUGGUAGAACACCAAAAGCGAAGGCAGCUUACUGGACAAUAACUGACUCUGAAGGACGAAAGCGUGGGGAGCAAACAGGAUUAGAUACCCUGGUAGUCCACGCUGUAAACGUUGUCAACUUGAUGUGGGAGGAUUUAACCCCUCCCGUGUCGAAGCUAACGCGAUAAGUUGACCGCCUGGGGACUACGGCCGCAAGGCUAAA